GAUGAACGCUAGCGGAAGGCUUAAUACAUGCAAGUCGAGCGGGAGUCCCCUUCGGGGGAUGAGAGCGGCGCACGGGUGAGUAACGCGUACAUGACCUGCCUGUCAGAAGGGGAUAGCCCUGGGAAACUGGGAUUAAUACCCUAUGGUAUUGAUAUUAUGAAUGAUAUCAAUUAAAGUUGAGGCGCUGACAGAUGGAUGUGCGUCUGAUUAGCUAGUUGGUAGGGUAACGGCCUACCAAGGCGACGAUCAGUAGGGGGCGUGAGAGCGUGGUCCCCCACACGGGUACUGAGACACGGACCCGACUCCUACGGGAGGCAGCAGUAAGGCAUAUUGGUCAAUGCCCGCAAGGGUGAACCAGCCAUUCCGCGUGGAGGAUGAAGGCCCUAUGGGUUGUAAACUUCUUUUAGAUGGGAAGAAAAUGCUAGAUGUAUCUGGUACUGACGGUACCAUCAGAAUAAGCACCGGCUAACUCCGUGCCAGCCGCCGCAGUAACAC
rnacentral:rRNA from 1 species